UUUUUUUUUUUUUUUUGCUUUUUUUCUCUUCCCCUCUAUCUCCCUCGCCACCCCUCCCUAAUACUCUCCUUUUUAUCUUCUUCAAUACAACCUUCACCACACACAGCAAUUCCAUUCCAAUAGCUCCUUCUCCUGCUGCUCCUUUUCCUCCUCUUCCUCCAAAAUCUUCUAAUUCAUUUUCAUUCUCUUCUUCAGGAAGUUGUUGGACAAUGACGCGCAUGAAAUUUGCCUGGGAAGCGGCCACUAGCCCGACGGCUUGGCUUUUCGAGAGCCGAGGCUUAUUGUCUUGGGUCAGAGCUGGAGCCAGAGAGGAGAGCUGCUUAACAGUUUCGCGAGCUUUGAGGAGGUUUUUGCUAGGUUGAUUAGGCUUCCUGGACACAGUUUGGCUAAGGUUUUGGGAAUGGUGCAGAGUCGCUGCGGCGAAGAUGGAAAAAUAGCGGUGGCUACGAUCAACCGCGAACAGGGCUGAGGAAAGUGGAACUGUUAAAAACAUCGUCGUCCUAAGACGGAUAAGUGAAAUGGGACGGAUCAUCAUCACCGGCAGAGCUAGUCGGAAGUCUGUACUUCUACUACUAAGUAGUCACUUCCUAGGAAAAAGGAAAGUUUUUUUUUUUGCUUUUUUCCUCUUCCCCUCUGGCCGCCGGAAUAAUGACCGGCGCUAGAAGUGGUGGUGGUGGUGGCCGCCGGCGACGGAAUACGUGGUGGGUUGGGUGGGGGAGGAAAAAGAAGAAAAAUUGAAGGGAAAGUUUUUUGUGUAUUUUUGAAGUGUGUAGGUUAAAAACUUUGAUAAAUUUUUUGGAUUCCUGUAGCAAAAGUUGUUAAAAAACUAGUAUUAUACAAACUUGGUAAAAACUUGAGGUUCCAUACAGGUCCGAUAUUUUGUUGUUUUUGCAGAAGAAGAUCAGAAAGUGACAUUGGUGUACUGAGAAAUUGAAACUGUAUUUUGUAAAAAUUGAUGUGAAUUGCAGUUGUAAUUGACCUUUGUUUUUUGGUAAAAAAAUGUGUGAAUCAAAUCGAGAACUUGAUGUAGAUGGAACCGAGUAGGAAUCGAAAUGUAUGAGAAUCCCAUAUUGUGCAAGGAAAUGGAACAUGUUCUACUAGCAAGAAACUAGUUUCAAUUCUGAAAUUGUAAUUGGUUUCCCCAAAUUUGUUGUCCCUGUUUUACAUUAAAGGGUACUUGACUGUGUCUUUAUUUUAUACCAAAUUGCAUGAAUUAAUGUACAAAAGAAACUGUAAAAGAAAAGAAAACAAUAUAAGACAGAGAAAUGUAUGAAAACAUGAAAAGUGAUUGUAUUGAAUUCAUAGUUUCAUAUGGUCAUGUUUCCUAGGGGUGGCAAUUCGGGUCCAAAUCAGGUUGGCGUCAGAAAAUCUGUUGACCCGAAUCCGACUCGCCAACCCGUGACGGGUUAGGUAUACUGACCCGAACCCGAAAAUUUCAGGUUGACGGGUUGGCGGGUCGACCCGAAAUGACCCGAAACUUAAUUUUAAUUUAUUAAUUUAUCACUGUAAUUUCUAAUAAAAUUAAUUUCUCACAAAACUAAUUACAUAAUCAAGUAAUAAAAAUUUAAAUAAAUAAUUCCAAACCAAAUCUAAAAUAAAUUAAACACCGUAAAAGUGUUUUAUCCCAAACAAAAUAUAAAAUAAAUUAAAACAAUAUAAAAGUAAAAAAUAAUAUAAUAUAUUAUUUGUCCAAAUAUAAUAAUUUCAACUUCACACAAAUUAAAUAAAUUCAUUUAGGAUUAAGUAAUUAAUGCCUUUGAAAAAAAGAAUAACUUAGUUUAGUUAGAUAAAAUUAUUUUUAUGUUUAUUAAAUUAUUUUUAAUUCGUAAACGGGUCAUAUCGGGUCAUAUCAGGUCACUACGGAUUGACCCGAAAUCGACCUGUUUUCUUUUCGGGUUCAUCGGGUUCAACUCGAUUCUUACUCGAAUUCCCGAAACCUCAACCCAAACCCAUUAAUUUCGUGUUAGGUUCGUGUCGUGUUUUCAGGUCGUGUCGAAAAUUGUCACCCCUAAUGUUUCCCAUUGAGUUGUGGACCAUAGACACACGUGUUUCUCACUUAGCUUGGGACCAUAAACAAAAAAAAAAAAAAAAAAAAAACAAAAUGUUACUACUAUUAGUUAAAAUAGGUCCUAGAUGCAAUAUUUUUUUUUUCGGAGACGACAAAAGUUGUAUAACCUAAUCUAUUCUACACUAAGGGGAGGGGGCGGACCUAAGGAGGCCCAGGGAUAACUCGGAGGGGACUGAAUCACCACCGGACUAAACGGAUGCACAACACACCCGCUUAAAUUUUUUUGAAACAAAUCACUUAAUUGUGAUAUUUUUGACACCAAGCUAGGUAGGUCUUAGAUGCAAUAGUUAUCUUCGCAUCUUUUAUCAAGUCAAAAGAGCCAAAAGUUAAUGCAUAAUUGUCUUUUUCAAUUCUGAGAAACUCAGACUUUUUGCAGAUAAAAGUUAAUGCAUAAUUGUCGCAAAGCCAAUAAUUGUCACAGCAGCUUCUCUUUUCCCUUUGACGUAGGUGACCAGCAACGACAUGUAUGUGAACAUCUUUAAUGUUGAAGGAAUUUGAACCUUAUCUUUAGUUAUAGGAAGUGGGUUGUUGCUAUAUUUCACUUGAGACCUUAACAAUCAAAAAAAAAAAAAAAAGGUUAAAACUACAGCAUUUCUUAUAUAUCCAGCAACACAUGUUCAACUAGACAUACACUAGUCAUGUUAGUGCUUCUUGUUCACCUUGCUGCCUCUGCUACAAAAAACUGGGAACGAACAUUGAACUUCAGAAUAAAAGAAAAUGUAAAAACGAAUUGUAAAUGCAAAUUCCAAUUUUGUAUUUCUACCCUUUUUCCUGAAGACUUAGUAGCAGGCCUCUUGGUCUUCCUUCUGACAUGUAACUUAAAAGGAAAGCAAUAGUUACCUUCAUAUCUAUUUAACCAAUUAGUGUAGACUAGGAGGUGCUCACCACGCUUACGCGCGGUGUAGAUUUCAAAGACUGGCAUGCCCGGUGUUGCUGAGUAAACUAAUAAAAAACUGGAAACAAGGAAUUGACAAAAUUGGAAAUUAUAAUGAAUAACAUAUCAAAGGCAUAAGUAAAAAACAUUACAAGUAAUAAGUGCAGACUGUUGAUACAUGAAGGCUCGAGUAAAAAUACAGAAUAGGUAGAUUGUCAAUCAUUAAUGUUGAGAUUGUUAAUGUUGAGGUUGUCAAUGUUGAGAGCUUCAUUUGUAGUGUAGUAAGUGGUAUAUUUCAUAAGUUACGCAUUUCAUCAUCCUGGACUUUGAAGUAGAAGGCUUGAUGUAGCAUAUAAGCAUCUUUCAAUGUAGAAUAGUCUGGAGAUGCUGAGCUAUAUCCAUGUUCUAGUGCGGAUAAAGCGAGAAAGCAAUAUAAGCUUUUGAAAAAAUAGAGGGAAACAAUUGUUUUGUAAAAAAAAAUGAUAAUUACUUCUAUUUGCAAACAUUAGAGCUCAGUAGUUGAAAACUGAGUUAGCCUUUCGACUUCAGAGGACAUUGCAAUAGGACAGAGAGUUCCAGUUAAAUCCAUGAUCCAAAUCGAAAUACAAUCCUUGGAAUUAAUAAACAAAUAUACAAGUGAUUGGAGGCUUAGAAAUCAGAUACAAUAGAUUACCAAUUUAUGCAUGUGUUAAACAGAUAUCUGCACUAUGUAGAAUCUGAUGCCAAUGGUUUAGUCAAACAAGGAAAGGAAAAUGUCUCAAAACUUUAUUUGUCAAAAUAUAGAAUGCACUUGUUAAUUUUACCUCACUUCCACUCAAGGGAUGACAACAUAUAGUUUUCUUUCAAGACUCCAGGACUCUACUCCAAACCAAAGCUCUUCUCUUAUCCUGAAAAAAUGGAGGGGGCAAUAUAACCUUUAUGAUUCUAAAAACCUCCAGAAUACUGUUUAAGAACCCACGGAGGGAACAUAAAGGAAACUACAAAAAUCAUAACAGAAAUAGAUAUAGACCGCUCCAUGAGAAGGCCUUGAUGCUCAAGUAGGAUAAGAAGUGGUUUAAAUGGGUCAGCUUCUAACAUCUUCAAGGAUCUUAUUGCCCUUCUUUCCUCUGUUUGGCACACCUGUGCCAAAAGGACAAUGAAACCUAAAUCCUGAAAAUAGCUUGACAUAAAGAUCUUCUAAAUUGCAGUUUUACUGCAUAGGAUUCUAUUUCUCCAAGCUGAACUCCAUAAGUUGGUGACUGACGUAGCUUCUCAUUCAAAGUAUCCAACUGUAAAUUCAAAAUCAAGAUAAUAGGAAGCAUGAAUGAAACAUAUUAUGGAAUUAAAAUCCUUUUUAACAGCAUCAGUUAUUUAUCGAGAAAACUAAUUGUUAUCUUGCAGCAUGUUGACACUUGACAUUAACUGAACCGAGCCAAAGAACUGCUAUCAUGCCCUUCCACCUUGUCUAGCCGAAAAUCUGAGAAAAGAAAAUCAAGCAUCCUCCAAAACCUUGUAAUCAGAGUUGGCAUGAUGUUUUAAGGUAGAAACUUCUCAGUCAAGCUUGACUUGCUGAUUUACACAACACAUGAUUAUACCUAUGUGCUUAUUAUCAUCGCUAAAGAAGAUUUCUUCCCCAUACUUUAAAGUUAAUGCCAGCUCUCACUAUGCUAUUCAGGUACAUAAUUGACACAUUACUUAUAGUAGCAAAAAAUUGGAACAAUUACUGUCACAACUUUUCACAUUUAUAGGUACCAAGCAGUAGGCACAUUCACAUGUACUGGAAAAAGUAACGGAAUUUUUUUCAUGUCAUGAAGAUUUGUUGGUAUUACCGUAUUCCAUUCUGAAAAGGGGUAGUGGACUAUGUAAGGAAGCUUAACAUUUUAUUUAGGACACAUAAGGAAGUCACUGAGCAUCUAUUGUACAGGUAAAUGGAUCAACAAUGUAUGGAUUUGCAAGUUAAUGUACACACCAAAAUGCAGAAUAUAAGCCACAUAUAGUAAGGGAAGAGAGAGAGAGAGAGAGAGUUGCAUUUUGUUUACCUGAUAAAGGUAACUCUCUGUAAAUGAAAGUAUUGGUAAGUAUUUGAAUAUCAACUGCGGCUGGUGAACAUCCAUCUUAUGAAACAUAAAAUAUGACCUGCACCGUUCAUCAGUACCGUAAGUCCAACAAUGUUGAGGACAAUCCCAAAGGAAAAGUCUUGCCAUUGCAAGAACAAGAAUUUCCUCCUAUAAUAUAAAGUAAAACCAGCCUGAAUAAAUUUUAAACCCAGUUCUGUAGGCAAAAGAAAAGACUCCUAUACUACUAUAAAAAAAAGGACUUUUGCUAAAGAUUGCAUGGUUUGGUUAUAACAAAGAACAAUAUUGCUCACAAAAUCUUCCAAUGUAGAAUUUGUUCAAAGCAUGGAGUCCAGCCCAAUUGUAGCAGCUCCUUGGAAGUUGUCUCAUGAUCAAUCAACCUUUUGCUCAUCAUCACAAUGUACUGGCACAGCAUUUUCAAUAUGUUCAUUACCUACAAAUUAAAACAGAACAGUCAGCUAAAAUUUGCAGAAAGAAUUAAUAAACCUAAAAGAUAUACCCUAUAUCCCUUCCAAGAAGUAGUUUAGCUCAAGUGACAUUUUGCAGAAGAUAAAUUUUUUAUUUUAAAGUGACAUUUUGCAGAAGUUUCAGACAAUUAAUACAAACGAGCAAGUGACCUCUUUUUUUCAGAUUCAUUUAAGUCAUAUAUGGCCUAAACUCAGCUCCACUAUGUAAUGAAGCUGAGGGCACAAUCCAUAAGAAGAUAGUCAACAAACAAAAAAUGUUGAGAGUAGAACUGGAAAACUUUACUUUCUUCCCCAAUACAUUGCAGUGCUUCGUCCAAAAAUAAAGUUGAAAUUUGUCAAAAGGAUAAUCACAAGCAUAAGUAGAGUUCUUGCAUUCCAUUUACUCUAACCUUAGAUCACCCAAAGAAGCUUAGGCAAGUUAUCAUACAACACAAAAAAGUAACCUUUGUCAUAUACUCUGAAAUCAGUUUGCACUUCAUUUCCAUGUCAAGCGCACUGCAAGGUUGAACCUUCACCAAAUUGAUUCAAGGUCACAAGGGGAGAACAAUGAAACAAAUAGGUGAAACAACUCGAAACUUUUUAAUUGGGUGUCUGUCUGCCUGAGAGUCUGAUUGAGAUGAACUGGAAGUCUGGAACAGCAAAUAAAAUUUAAUAGAGAAUAAAAGAAAAUUUAAUCAAGGGGCAGGAACAGCAUAAACAAAAUUAAAAUGGAGAAAGCAGUGGACUUGAGAGACAAACAAAAAACAGAGAGAUGGAGAGAAGAGAUUUGACUUGUGUUGAAGAAAAGAAGAGAGGGGCAAAAGAGCAGAGGAAGAAGAUUGAUUGAUUGAGAAAAGGAAAAGGAGAAACAAAGGGGUGAGGAGGACGUCUGGACUCUGGAGAUUGGAGUGGGUAAGAGUUGGUGGAGCAGUUCCUGAUUUCCAGUGAAGAGUCUGAAGACCACGACACACGUGAAUUGAUGUAAGAAAUUAAACAAUCAAAGGAUGAAGACAUGCAUGAACACCAUCUACAGUACAAAAAUGUAGCGAGCGAAAACGGUAAAGCAAGCUUAAACAAUGUACGAAGCAAAAAUACUAAAGAAAGCAUGAAGAUUCUGAAGAAUGCAUGUUGGGGAAAAUAAGUAAAGUAUGAAAUGACCAGGAAGGAGGCAAGAAAUAGCCGGCAACUAAUGCAGCCAGAAGGAGGAAAAAGCCAAGCAAAACAAAGAAACAAGCAUCUGACCUGCAACCAAAUUCCUGCCAUAACACAUAACAGAAGAUCAGCUCCAUAGCAGCGUCCUCCGAAGAACGAGAAUGCCAGAAAAUCCCAAGUACAAGGACAUCAAAUAAAGCUGUAAAAGAGGAAAUGACAAGCACAGAAAGAUGAGAUAUUGGAAAGAAAACAAAGAGGCGGGAAAGCUUUUUUUUUUUGUUUUAAAAUGAGCUCACCACAAUAGCAACGGCAUACAUGGAUCAGCAUUCAUCAGCACGGAAACAGGGGAAAAAGGAACAAAGUUAGCGAAUAAAAUAGCAAAUGCUGCCACAGGUGAUAAGGAGAAGCAGUAAACAGCAUAUAAAACGAAAAGCGAAAAACUGGUGGAGAUAAUUACCCUGAAGUUGGUCAAUAGAAAUGAAAGCUCCAAAAGAACAGAGAACGAAGCAGAGGGAUAAAGAGCAAACCAACCUUAUAGCUGAAACAACAGAACGAAAGAGGGAAAAUGAUCACCGGAUGCAUAAACCAACCACAAAGCAUGAUAGCAUCUGCAAAAUCCAGGACAGAAAGUAUGGAGCAGCUUCCAAAGACGUACGGAGGACAACGUUCGAAAGUGUAAGAGGCAAAGAAGGGACGCAUGGCUGAAAAGUUACACAGUGACAAAGCAUUGUUUUGACAUCUAUAACCCAACAACAGCUAAACUAAGUCAACCCACAAAAAGAAAGUAAAUAAACAUGUAAGACAAGGGUAAAUAGGUAAAACAGGAGUUGUCACAUUGACCCAAAUACACACUCUAACCUCACCAAAAACCUGACAUUAGGUAAAAUGGGAAGCAGAGUAUUACUAUCAGCACUACAAGCCUAACACUAUUAUUAUUAUUAUUAUUAUGACCACUAUGAGUCCGGUCUUGGGUUCCAUUGAAGGAGUUAAUUUUUUUCAGCCAGGGCUCGGUGGCUCACAAACGCAAUCCACAGGCCAACAAUCAUGGAGAACGACCACUUUUCAGCAAAUCAUCAAAUGACAUGUCAGCAAACAAAACACACCAUCGGACAACUUCCUAAGCACUUAGUCUAUAUAUGGUUGAUAAAUAUAGCAAGUAAUAAAACAAACUGACAGGUAGUUUGGAUGCCUUAUCAAUGCUAGUCUUGUCAGAUACAUGUGGAGUACGUAAAAUCUCCAAAUCUUCAGUUAAUCCCCAUCUUUGUUGAACAAAUCACUGUCCUUUUGGACCACAUUUAUAGGCUAAGAAUCAACCACUCCAUUAUUAGACCCCUGCAUUAUGCCCCCUUUGAUGAUAUAUAUAUAUAUAUAUAUAUAUAUAUAUAAGGUUAAAACUUAGAUUGAUUAUCAUUUAAACCAUUCUGUUUGAUGUUUAAAUUUUUAAUUUUGUAAAUUUUAUAUGUUUAGAAGGAGGAUUGAGUAUCAUAGGCUUUUUUUAAGUGUCAAUAAGCUUUUUUGCCACAAGUAAAUUUAGAAUUUGGCUCUUAACAUAGGGGCAAAUGCAUAAAAAUACAGCAGCUAAAUAUAGUCCCUCCAUAAACGGGUUUCCAACUGUUUAAAAUUCGGGGAUAAUUUCAGAACUCUCUCUUGAGAUUUCUGACUAUUUCAUUGGAUUCCCUUCUAAGUUAUGAAAAUUACACUAACCUCCCUUGAGGUUAAUUAUCUUGUAACAAUUAGGCCCAAUCAAUAAUUCAUAAGUGAUAUUAGGAGAGAGAAAAUAAUAUAAUUUCAUCAUUGCCCUUAAUCUACUAUAUUAUUUAAUUAAUUUAAUACCAACCCACAUAUUAAAGAAAAACACUAAAAUUUGUUGUUUAUCAUUAGGAAUCAAAUCACAUAUAACAUAAAAAAUAUAUAUCAUUUUAUUUUUUUUCACUUAAUACAAGAUCACAAUUAUUCUUUUCAGUUACAUACCCAUUGUUAAAUAUGAUUAACAACAAAUGAUCAAAAAAUUUGCAACCAAAAUAUCAUAGAGAAAAAACUUUAGCAUCAUAAAUAUUCUUAUCAACAUAUUAAGGUUAGUUGCUGAAAUUUUUAUGGUAUUAAAUUUCAUUCUUUGUAAUAUUUUGAUUACGAAUUUUUUUUAAUUAUUUGUUUGUAAUCAUGCUUGAUAAUGGGUUUGAAAUUGAAAAGAGUAAUUUGAAUAUUAUAUUAAGUGAAAUAUAUAGAAUGAUAUACUAUUUUUAAUGCCAUAUGAGAUUUAAUUUCUAAUGAUAAAUAGCAAAUUUUAGUAUUUUUUUUAAUAUUUUGGUUGAAUAGCCUCCAUUUGAAUUAACUAUUUUUUGGGAUGUUUUUUGAAAAAAUGUACGGUAACUGUGUAUAUGAAAAAUUUUUACUAUAAAUAUUUUUUUUUGAAAUAUUUGAUAUACCGUAUGAAUGAGAUGUUUUUUGAAUUAUUUUUAUUUGUGUAUUACUAUAACAUUGUAUUUAAAAAACUUGUUUUUUGAAAAAUGGCCAAUCCAAAUGGAUAACAAUGAAUUUAGUAGAUGAAAAGUAAUGAUAUACUAUUUUUAAUAAUAUAUGUGAUUUAAUCUCUAAUGAUAAAUAAUAAAUUCUAGUAUUUUCUUUAAUUUUUAGGCUUGUAUUAAAUAAUUUAGUAGAUGAGGGGGCAACGUAAAAUCAUAUUAUCUCCUCUCUCCUUAUAUGACUUUUUAAUUGUUUGUUGGAUCUAGAUGUUACAAGAUAAUAAAACUCAAAAGAGGUUAGUAUAAUUUUCAAAAUUUAGAGGGAGACCAGUGAAAUUAUCCCUAAAAUUUGACUUUGAUCAUAUCCUUGCCGAAAGUACAAAAUACGGACAAAGUGUCACGGCACCUGAGUGCAAUCCUUCCGUAAAGGGGUCUCCAACUGUCCCAACGAGUCCCACGUGCGAAUAUAAAUGAACUGAGUUCGGAGUAUAUAAUCAAUCUUCUCUUCCUUCUCCUCCGACUUCGUUCCUCCGCUUUAUACGUUCCCUUUUUCACCUUUCUUUGCUUCAGCGUGCGCAUAACUACCCAAAAAACCUACGCAUUCAACCUAUCCAUACAUUAUUGCCUGGUAGUAGAUACUAUAAAAAUGAGAAAGAGAAAGUUGUCACGGUAUUCUUGGACUAUUCUGCUCCUUUCCAGAAAUUUCAACGUCUUCCCACUUCUUCCCGAGUUGGGUUCACCUUUUGGCUCGCUUUUAAGCUGAAUACUCGUCAGAUAAUCUUGAUUACCCUUGCCUUUUGGUCCAGAAUCCAAGAAAAAUUGCGUUUUUCUUCCAUUUGGGUUUCUCAUGGAGAGUCCAGAGACGUGAAAAAUUGCGUACGUGUAACCAUCUGAUUCAAUCAGAAUUUCGUUUGAUUUUCCCGGGAUUUUACUGAGGAGACGAAUAUAAAAGAGAAAAUGGGUCUGAUGGAAUUAACUACAACGUCUGAUCACGCAUCAAUUGUGUCCAUAAAUCUGUUUGUGGCAUUGCUUUGUGGCUGUAUUGUAAUUGGCCAUUUGCUUGAGGACAACCGAUGGAUGAAUGAAUCUAUUACAGCCCUGAUUAUUGUAAGAAAUUUACUCUGAUUAGUCCUCCUAUCUAUUGACUGGUUUAAUGGCUUGUGAAGUUUAAUGUUGUACUAGCAAAAGUACGAUUCUGAUGUCAUAUCUGAUAAUGGAUGUUGACAUAUGUUGAUCAUGGAUGAUGGAUUAAGAGUUAUGUAACUUACUCGUGUUCAAUGUUUGCGUUGUCUUUUUGAGGUAAGACUGUUAAAUAUACUACAUUUUGGUUGGCAGGGUUUGUGUACUGGAGUUGUUAUUUUGCUGUUAAGUAAGGGAAGAAGCUCGCAUCUGCUUGUGUUUAGCGAAGAUCUUUUCUUUAUAUAUCUGCUUCCGCCUAUCAUAUUUAAUGCUGGGUAGGUCCAAGUCUUUCAUUUUGUUCCUAUCAGUGAUUAUUUUUCGUUAAUUUCUGUUCACUUGUUAGCAUUUAAUAUAUUUACUCGUGUGUAUGCUCAUUAAGUUAUUCUUCUCCUGAUGGUGGAGCUUAAUGAGUAUACACAUGAGUAAAAAUAUGUUCACUUGUUAGCAUUUAAUAUAUUUACUCAUGAGUAUACACGUGUAUACUUGUUCACCUGUCCAUUGAUCUUUUAUCUAUCUAAUCUAAUCUAACUGUAAAAUAAAUAAGAACCUCUUUUUGGUGUUUAUGGUUUGGUCAUUUUAUGUUAUGCCAAACGUGCCACUUAUAGUUACUGUUCAAACUGUUCAGUUUGCCGCCUUUUCUCCAGCAUGAUCUUAAGUACAAUAACAUCCUUAGAUGAAAAAAGGCAAUAACUAUAGGCUUCUGAAAUAAGCACAUGCAUAAGUUGUACCAAAAACGCUAUUAUGACAUAAAUAUAUUGUUAAAUAAGGCAAUCAUUCAAGUAACUAGAGGAUGAAAUUUCAAUCCUUGUACAACAGUUUUGAAGAAAUGCAGACAUUUGCUGUGAAGAGCUAAGAUAUCAGGACCACCAGCUAUUUUGGUUGUAUAGAAAUUUAGAAUAUUAGUCCAAAUUUCUAAAGUUGAUAAUGGCUUAAUUAAAAUGAUAAAUAAAGCUAACUAUAAUUCAUGUUGAAACCAAUUGUUACCAUAUAUAAAGAGGUGUUUGUUUUGUGAUGAAUUGAAGUGCAUAAAAAUCUGUUCUUUGACAUUGAGAAGGCUGUGAUCAUGUGGGCAUUUUUACAUAACCUGUGAUCAUGCUGGCAUUUUACAUACUUAUUCUUUUUUGUUGCUGUUAGAUCUCUUUGUCAAACUUAGCAUGGAGGGACUUUUUCUAAUAACAUAAUGGUUUUGGCACUGACUAGGUGUGCUUUAGUCAGAGAGAAUAUAAAUUAUUGCAAUUUUUCUUUUCUUUUCCCCUUUCUUUUGAAGAAAUAACUACAGUUGAAAGUUGAAAAACAUGUGGGUUUCACAAGUACUUUUGGAAGGGCAGCAUGACUAACAUACAGUUACACUAAUGGAGUUACACAAAAGUGGGUGUUUGGUGGCCUACAAGAGAGGAAGAUUUGAUUUUUGUGGAGCUUAUGCUUGCGAAGUGUAACUUUUGGGAUAAAAUGGUCUAAUAAUGUAUAUACAUGUUCUCAUUGAACAAGUUAGUAGCAAGCUUGUCAAUUACGGGGGGACAGACCUUCCAUCAUGGCAAUGAGUAAAUUGCAGUCUCUUCUGCAGUGGGUAAAAUGGUACUUUAAGGUCUGGCUCUUUGAUAGUGGAGAUAGGUUGCCAAAAUUCAUGGCUUGAGCACUUUGUGACAUAGUAUUUCAAUUGCACAGGAAUCUUUUUCUGGAUAUAUGCAUUUUUAGUAUACAUUUCCUUUCAUCUUUAUUAUCUAUCAGGAACCAUGAACAAAGUUUUAUGCAGCUGCACAACAGUCUUCAUUAUAUUGGAAUCUUUACUGACAAAAGACACGAAGAUUGACAGGCAAAUAACUUUCAUCUCUAGAGAACUAGAGAAACAGUUGAGCAGUUGGGGACUAAUUUUACGAAAAAAAGUACUCGGUAAAAAGAGGAAAAAAAAUGUUAGAAGAAUUAUACCUCGUAUGGGUGGAUGAUAUAGAGUGGAAUAUGCAUGUGGACAAUAAAAACUAGGACUGCUGUUUACAGUGACUGAUGCUCCAACAUUAACCUUGACUCUUGAUGCUCUUAACAUUACCCUCUAGGAGCAUUAGAUAUAAAGCAUAUUGUACAACUGAUCUCCUGCAUGUGAUUAUGGCCAUUUAGCUUGAUCCUUAGCCAUGGCUCAUGUAUUUAAAUAAGAAAUAAGUGAAAAUCCAAGUGAAUAUGAAGACAUGGAAAGGAAAGGAAUGGCAAAUAUGAGAAAGUGUAGAAGCAAGAAAAGUAAGGAAGCUUAACAUUUCUAAAUAAUAUGUAUAUUUCUUUAUCCCAUUUAUAGUGGUAAGAAUUGAACAGAGGGUUAUAAAAACUGAUACUACCUAUUUCAACGUAGUUAGGUGCAUCACAUUGUUUCUGUUACUGGGAUAAGAACCCUAUUGGUUAACAGUUCAAGCAUUGAACAGUAGGGAUAUGUAUCAAUGAGUGAAAUGAAACAGGUAGGGUCAUGGACAGUUGCCUUGUAGUGCUGCUGCAGUUAGCAGCGGUAUCUAAUUAGCUUCUACCUAGAAUAGAAAUCUGAAAAGCACCAACUGUAGAUAUUAAAUAUAUUGCUAUUAAAGAAGAUGGAAACCGCCAUUUACUUGCAUAAUUGCCAAGUGCUAAUUUCUUACUCGUUAAAGAAAUUCUUUCUUAUAUCGAGCCUAAAAUGUCAUGCUCUAAGGAUCUUGUUAUUCCUCUAAUCUUGCAUCACUAUUUGUCCUGUUAGUCAUAGGGAUCCUGCACAGUUUGUUCUGUAUUUGAAAAUCAGGGUUUGUAUUUGCUGUUCUGUUUAGCACGCGAAAAUGGCAUUGAACUCUCUCUCUCUCUCUCUCUCUCUACACACACACACAUAUUUGAUUUCCAUGUGGUCCUUGGAUUUUGAUCAUUUAGCUGCUGCAUCGAUCCAUGUAUGCCUUCAUAAGGAGUGGAUAGAUGAAAUUAAAGAUUUCUUACAUAUAGUAUCAGAGUCCACCUUUGCCGCACAACAUGGGGUUUAUUAAAUUGUUGUGGUUUACUGACAUGUAGUAUGUCAUGAUCUAGCACAAUCCUACUUUAUUGCAUGGGUAGGAAAGUUAUUCUCUUUGAGAUCAUUAUGAGCUCAUGCUUAUAGCAAUUACUUUGCUUUAUAUUUUGUUAGAUUGGUGUUUUAAUGAUGUGAAAUGUAGUCCUUGCAUUUUGCAGAAAUUUCUUUUGUUGUGGCUUUUAAGAAUUAUUUGUGUUAACCCUUUUACUAUGACAGGUUUCAGGUGAAAAAGAAGCAAUUUUUUCGUAAUUUCAUCACUAUUAUGCUUUUUGGAGCUGUGGGUACCCUAGUUUCAUGGGCAAUAAUAUCAUUAGGUAUGUGCGAUGCGUUGACAUACAUUGUAUUUAUUCCCUAAAUGCUCCACUACUGUGAAUUUUAUAUAUGACUCAGUAAGAUAGAGUUUUUUGGGGCUGGCAACUUUCCUCGGUAGUUGCCAAAAAAAAAAAAUCCUCAGAACUUUGAAGAAAAAGGAAACUAAUGUAUUCCAAAAGAUGUAUUUUCAGUAGCCAUUCCCUUUUUCUGUUACUUGUUUUGCUAUGCAUGCAUUUCAGUUAGUUAAGUUUUGUAGACUUUACUGUUUCGGAGACUUUACUUAUAAUGAGCAAAUUACUCGGGUAACCACGAAACUUUUCAAAUAGUCGAGUUUUGGCCACUCAACUAUGAAUAGUGUGUUAUUACCCACUGAACUAUCAAAAGUGUAAAUUUUGACCCAUUCCUUCUUAUUUCACCAUUAACAUUGCCAAAUCUAACUAUAAUUAGUAUGCCUCCUGAAUCGUGUGGACCUCUAAAUCUAAUAGAGUUAAUGGCGGAAUUAGACAGAAUGGCCCAAAUAAUUCAGUGGGUAAAAACAUACUAUUAAUAACUGAGUGACCAUAUCUUGACUAUUCAAAAAGUUCAAUGACCACCCGGGUAAUUUGCUCUACUUAUAAUACUUGGUAGAACUUUUGUGUAAGUUUGAUAUCUCAAUGAUUCUCACCUAACUUUCUUGUUCCAAUGAUACUGAUUCCUCUUCAUCCCUAUUUAGCUGCCUUUUGUUUAAGACCUUUGUUUGUAUGCAUGGGAACCGAAAUGUCCCAGAUAAUGCUUUUCCAAAAUUUUGUGGUGCAAAAAAUUUGUAUAGAUGUAACCCUACUGCUUUAGAUUAUGGCAAAUGGCAGAGAGAGCAAAAGAUGUUUAAUUCAAAAACUGAAUAGAUAUGGUUUCAUGGUUAACCACUCUUGGGAUACUCAACUAUUUAAGUUUCUUUGAUUUGAUACUAGCUCAUAUUCAUGAUUCCCUUGCAUUUGACCUAGGUGCCAUUCAAAUCUUUAGUAGAAUGGAUUUUGGCGAUUUUGAUAUUGGGGAUUAUCUAGGUAUCAACUUGUACUUCAGUCCAACUUCUCUCUCUCUCUCUCCUCCCUCGUCCUUGGCCUCUGACAUUCUCUUUUGCUGUCUGUCCAUCAUUUUAGCCAUUGGUGCAAUAUUUGCCGCAACAGAUUCUGUAUGCACUUUGCAGGUAAAAGAAAACAGUGAAGGUAGUCAAUACUUCCCUUUUGUCACACAUAGUAUGCUCUGAAACUAUAACUGUUGAUGUUGCAGGUGCUACAUCAGGAUGAGACACCCCUGCUUUACAGUCUGGUUUUUGGAGAAGGUGUUGUGAAUGAUGCUACAUCAGUGGUGCUUUUCAAUGCCAUUCAGAGCUUUGACAUGUCAAAAAUUGAUCCUAAAAUCGCCCUGCAUUUUAUUGGAAAUUUUCUUUAUCUAUUCUUUACUAGCACCGUCCUGGGGGUAAUCGUAAGUCAGUCUCAAUAUCAAUCUCUCUCUGUCUCUCUUUCUUCUCUUUUGUGUGUGUCAAAGUACAGAUGGGUUGUUCAAGAAAACAUUUCCUUUACUUUCUUUUCUGCAGGCUGGAUUGCUUUGUGCUUACAUCAUCAAGAAACUGUAUUUUGGCAGGUAUAGGACAAAAAAGUCUUUUGCUGCUGCUGUACUGUUCUCUAGAGAUAUUUGUUUUCUGGUUGUCUUUGAUUUGUAAGCUGUAACUACUGAAAGAGAGGCUUCUGAUGCUAUCCAUACUAUCUUCUCUUGUGGGUGCCUGACAGUAAAAAUUCCACCAACGUCCACUAUGUCUCUAUUAAAACUGGACACUGAUCUUUUCUCAGCACUCCAGCAAAUUUUUUGAAAGAACAUGAUUGGAAAUUGUAAACUGUUUUUCCCCCCUUUUCAGCUCCAUAAUUUGACUGCAUACAGGAUAUCACAUCACUGUGCAGAUUCAGUAGAGGCUUUUUUUUUUUCCCAAGUGUCUGUGUUGCAAUUGUCAAUUUCUUAAAAAUUAAGAAGCUGGAAAAUCAGGACCUUUUUAAAUCAGCACCCCAAGCCCAAGUGCGUGUGGAUUUUGUUUUAGUUUAGAUGGAUCCAUCAUGAAAAAUAUUAGUUAAGUACAUGUUUCAAAAUAAAAUUGGAAAGCUUAAUUCUGUGUUUGAUGCAGUUCAUAGAAGUCUUAUUUGGUUGUGUUAUUUGUCUCUGUUACUUGUUUGUCCAUUUAUUUGGUAGAUAUCUAAUUUCGUAUGUGAAGACUUGGAAUACUUCAUAGCAAAGGUGCUUGAUGUCAGUGAAUAUACCAUGCAUGAAAUUUACCAGGGAUGCAAAUAGUCAUAGGUUUGACUGGAUAUAUUAGCAUCUAUUUUUUCAAGAGUUGGGGAUUAUAUUUGGUUGUUGAUUUUCCUUGGUUUCUGUUUCUGCAAGUUGUUAUCUAUGCCAGACUAAAAUGAAUGCUAUCAUUCAGGCAUUCAACUGAUCGUGAGGUGGCUCUAAUGAUGCUUAUGGCUUAUCUAUCCUAUAUGCUGGCAGAAGUAAGAUACUAUUUGACUUUUCGUGCUGAGGAGCCUUGAUUUCGUUGCUUUCAGAUUCUUUUUGUUUAAGCAUUUGUUGUUGCCGCUCAUUUAACUUAACAUAGAUCUCCUUUAUCUACUAUUCAGUUAUUAGAUUUGAGUGGCAUUCUUACGGUGUUCUUUUGUGGGAUAGUUAUGUCCCACUACACCUGGCACAAUGUGACUGAGAGUUCAAGAAUUACUACCAAGUAUGCUCUCCUGGAAUGUCUUUGCUUUUCUUUACAAUUGAAUUUGCAGAUAACUUCAUAUCAUUAGAAUAAGCUAUCAACCAAUGUUUUAAACUCUCUAUACAUUGAACUGACAGGCAUACGUUUGCAACUUUGUCAUUUGUUGCCGAGACUUUCAUCUUUCUUUAUGUCGGUAUGGAUGCAUUGGACAUUGAAAAGUGGCGUUUUAUCAGUGAUAGGUAUGCCUUUUGUUAGAUAUUUAGCAGUGAGGCCUAUCCUUCUUUCUCUAUCUUGAAAUAGAAUCUAGUUCUCAAAUGCAGAGAAAUAUUUUCUAGUACUCUUCAUUUUCAUAAUUUGCUCCUAGUUUCUUGCAUAUGGAAUUGUUACGUAAUAACUUGCUAAUGAUUAUUUCUUCUCCUUUGCAGUCCUGGAACCUCAGUUGCCGUGAGUUCAAUUUUGCUAAGCCUGGUUUUACUUGGUAGGGCAGCUUUUGUGUUUCCCCUAUCCUUUUUAUCUAACUUGGCCAAGAAAUCUACAAGUGAAAAGAUUUCCUUCAAACAGCAAGUAAGCAUUUCCUUAAACUUGAUGUUAGGCAUUCUACUAGUUAUUUGAUCGUGGAGUUGACAAGUUCUGGUGCUUUAGGUCAUUAUAUGGUGGGCUGGCUUGAUCAGAGGUGCUGUGUCUAUGGCACUUGCAUAUAAUAAGGCAAGUAUGUGGAUAUAUUGGGCUGGCUUGAUGCAUGUUAUGCGCCAGCAGAAUUAUAUCUAUUGUGUGUGAGUAGAUGUGAAUUGGAAAUUGAAGAAGAGACAUCUGCAGCCAUUUGUCACUCGUCUUUUUGUGGAUCUGAGUGGGUGUUUUUCUUAGUUCCUUUAUUGUCCUUGAACUGAAAAAUUUCUGCAUCUGUGUAGUUCACUAGCUUGGGACAUACUAACUUGCGAGGAAAUGCAAUAAUGAUCACUAGCACCAUUACUCUUGUUCUUUUUAGCACAGUGGUAAAUAACCCGUCUCCCUGCCUUCAUGUAUUCUCAUUUCUCCAUUGCGUUACCUCAUCUGUCUCAUCAGUUACCCACUGACCACAAAUUUAAAAUCUAUUUAUUUGUUUUGGCUUAGGUAUUCGGCUUAUUGACAAAGCCGCUUAUAAGGCUGUUGCUGCCACCUUUGAAACAUGCCACCAGUGCUGCAUCUUCUGACCCUAAUUCUCCCAAUUCACUCGGUGUUCCGCUAAUCAGCCAUUCACAGGACUCUGACAGUUUUUUAAGCGGGCAUGACAUCCCACGGCCAUCUAGUAUACGCAUGCUUUUGACAACACCAACCUACACCGUGCAUCGUCUCUGGCGUAGGUUUGAUGACAGAUUUAUGCGUCCUGUGUUUGGUGGGCGGGGGUUUGUUCCUGUUGUUCCUGGUUCCCCUACAGAAGGUAAUCUAAGUUAAAUGCCUGCACUGCAUGAUUUAAAAGCAAAAGAUAGAGACUCGUGGGAGAUGUGCUCUCAACAAGGGUUGGACUUGCUGACCGAGUAUUUUGCUGUAAUUUCUAUGUAAAUUACCUUGCCAAGCUAACAUCAAGUUUUGUAUAGAUCAAAAACUACCAUGUAUACAUACUUGCGUCCAUAUAUGCACAGGUAGAUGGUUGAAUAAGAGUUGUCAUUUUGGCAGUUGCCCAGCAUUCAACCAAGAAAAUCCUGCUAGAUUGCGGGGAUUUGAACUGUGUCAUAAAUUAGAAGACAAGUGGAGAAACUUUCCUCUUUUCUUUUGACUUGAAAAGAGCAGUUUAACUUUCGUGUUCUCAACUGUUACAUUCCCUCCAAAGAAAAAGAGUUUCGUACCGUAUCAUGCUGUAUUCCAAAAUAGUUGCAGUUUUACAACUUCAAGCAAUGGAUGAGACAAUUGAACUGGUAACUUUUUGUUCUCAUAUCUGUUCUACAUUUAGCGGUGCCUCCACACAGAAACUCCUACAUAUUUAUAAGUGCAGGAGAGAGAGAGAGGGGGGGGGGGAAUGUAGCACGUCCGAGGUGGAAGAUUUGUCGUUAUAACAUCUUGAUUGUUUGGAUAGUGUUUAUUUGUAUGAUUUUUUUUUAUUUAUUUGCAUUAUUAACACUUUUUUCAAUCAUUUUUGUUAUCUCAAAUACGUCACAUCAAAAAAAUAUUAUCCUGAAUAAUCUCAGUUACUGAGGGCUGGUGCAAUUAUGCCUAGAUUUUGUGCUCAAUUCUGUUAGAACCAUUUGGAAGGCUAUUCAAUGGAGUUCUCCAUUAGGCAAAUGGAUUUCAGGCUUGCAGCUGCACAUAUGCGCACAAAAGUAGUGUCUCAAGCGUUCCAUAGUACCGAACGUGUCAUGAGGACUUCCUUCUUGAGCGAAAUGUGGAAAAAUCUUUAGAAAUUAGUAGCAGCAGCUGGAGAAAAAUCGAUUCAAACGAGUCUUGAAUAUCAGUUACAUAAAUAGAUUAAAAAGUCGUAUACCACAUUCUCUGCCUUGCUUGAAAAUGAACAGUAUGGAUAAUCUUGUUUUGAAGUUAUGAUCAUAUCCUCGUACUAACCAAUUUAUGCCAUCAAAUUCAGACAUUAUACCACACGCAGUUAACAGAAUUGUGAGAAGGAAACUAGGUGUCCCCUGCUCAUACUGCUAAUGUAGAAUAUAUUUCUCCAGCAGUUAGAAUGAUGGGUACAAAUGAUGAUUGCUAUAUUUUGCUAUUCCUUUUAACUUAUAAAAGCUUUGCAGAUUACUAAACUACUUGGAUCAUAACUCAUAAGAGAUCAACCAAACUCACAAUAAAAGUUAAAAAAUGCAAAGCUUUUUUUUUAAUUAACUCAACGGUUCUAUAUUAUCAAUCUCCAGUUUCUAAGAAAGGAAAACCAUCUGAAACGCAAGACCCAAACAAUGAACCAUCUCUCAAACUAUAUACAACAUUUUGCACACGCAAAAGACAGGUUUCUGAAAAUUUAUUUAUUCAAAGAGAUAUACAUAUACUAGUUGGCUGUGGCUAUAUUUGUUAGGUGGCUAACAUAACGUAGAAAAAGCUU
rnacentral:lncRNA from 1 species